GCCGCGGUAGCUCAGCCUGGCCGGAGCGCCGGACUCAUAAUCCGGAGGUCCCGGGUUCGAAUCCCGGCCGCGGCA
rnacentral:tRNA from 1 species